UUGCAGUUAAAGAGCUCGUAGUUGGAUUUCGGAGUGGGCCAGUUGGUCCGCCGCAAGGUGUGUUACUGACUGGUUUGCUCUUCUUCGCAAAGACUGCGUGUGCUCUUCAGUGAGUGUGCGUAGGAUUUACGACGUUUACUUUGAAAAAAUUAGAGUGUUCAAAGCAGGCUAUUGCUUGAAUACAUGAGCAUGGAAUAAUGGAAUAGGACUUUGGUCCCAUUUUGUUGGUUUCUAGGGCCGAAGUAAUGAUUAAGAGGGACAAUUGGGGGCAUCCGUAUUUCGUUGUCAGAGGUGAAAUUCUUGGAUUUACGAAAGACGAACAACUGCGAAAGCACUUGCCAAGAGUGUUUUCAUUAAUCAAGAACGAAAGUUAGAGGAUCGAAGACGAUCAGAUACCGUCCUAGUUCUAACCAUAAACGAUGUCGACUAGGGAUCAGCGGGCGUUAUCGUGCGACCCUGUUGGCACCUUACGGGAAACCAAAGUUUCUGGAUUCCGGGGGAAGUAUAGUCGCAAGGCCGAAACUUAAAGGAAUUGACGGAAGGGCACCACCAGGAGUGGAGCCUGUGGCUCAAUUUGACUCAACACGGGAAGACUUACCAGGUCCAGACAUAGUAAGGAUUGACAGGUUGAGAGCCCUUUCU
rnacentral:rRNA from 1 species